CUAGCCUGGCGUGGCCCUCCUUGGCUAGGAUAUUGAGUUCAGAAACCGGGGACCUCUGGGACCGCAGCAUCCCUUCCCACUGCCUGCUCCUCUGGCGCCCAGCCCGAGCUCGCGCAUGCGCCCGGGGCGAGGUUCGUUCCACGCGACGUCGGGGGGGGGGGAAUCGCGCCCGCUCUGAAGCCCCGCCCCCAGGGCGCCGGCGGCGACCUGGGCGGGGGGGCCCCCGGGCCACGCCCCCAGCCGAGCCGAGAAAGGCCGAGUGAGCCCGACUGGCUCCGAGCGCGGCCGAGCUAAGCCGAGCGGCCCGGAGUCGGUUGGUGCAGCUGCGUCCCGGCCGCUCAGCAGUCCGCGGCUCCGGCGUCGACGCCGCCUGCGCGGGGCCUGCGCCGGCCGGCCGCCCGCCGGGAGGGAGGCCCGCAGCGCGGGGAGAGCGGCCCGGCCGCCCGCUGCCAGGACUGAACAGCAACAAGUGAUCCUUUAAAGAUGCCGAGGAAGUUGUGUGAAGUGGGGAAGAAAACUGGAGAAAAUCAAGUCAAGAAGAAGCAUGUUUCCCAGGUUUAAUAAAGUAAACCCGUUUUCUGCAAAUACCUGAAAAGGCUGCCCUCUGGGUCUCC